GACGAAGGGGGCUAGCGUUGUUCGGAAUUAUUGGGCGUAAAGCGCACGUAGGCGGCUUUGCAAGUCGGAUGUGAAAUCCCUCGGCUCAACCAAGGAAGUGCAUCCGAAACUGCAGAGCUUGAGUACGAAAGAGGAUCGCGGAAUUCCCGGUGUAGAGGUGAAAUUCGUAGAUAUUCGGGAAGAACACCAGAAGCGAAGGCGGCUCACUGGCCCGAUACUGACGCUGAGGCGCGAAAGCGUGGGGAGCAAACAGG
rnacentral:rRNA from 1 species